rnacentral:miRNA from 1 species
UUCGUUGUUGAAAAAAACAAGA